rnacentral:rRNA from 1 species
GGAAAGGCGCGCGAUACAGGGUGACAGCCCCGUACACAAAAAUGCACAUGCUGUGAGCUCGAUGAGUAGGGCGGGACACGUGGUAUCCUGUCUGAAUAUGGGGGGACCAUCCUCCAAGGCUAAAUACUCCUGACUGACCGAUAGUGAACCAGUACCGUGAGGGAAAGGCGAAAAGAACCCCGGCGAGGGGAGUGAAAAAGAACCUGAAACCGUGUACGUACAAGCAGUGGGAGCACGCUUAGGCGUGUGACUGCGUACCUUUUGUAUAAUGGGUCAGCGACUUAUAUUCUGUAGCAAGGUUAACCGAAUAGGGGAGCCGAAGGGAAACCGAGUCUUAACUGGGCGUUAAGUUGCAGGGUAUAGACCCGAAACCCGGUGAUCUAGCCAUGGGCAGGUUGAAGGUUGGGUAACACUAACUGGAGGACCGAACCGACUAAUGUUGAAAAAUUAGCGGAUGACUUGUGGCUGGGGGUGAAAGGCCAAUCAAACCGGGAGAUAGCUGGUUCUCCCCGAAAGCUAUUUAGGUAGCGCCUCGUGAAUUCAUCUCCGGGGGUAGAGCACUGUUUCGGCAAGGGGGUCAUCCCGACUUACCAACCCGAUGCAAACUGCGAAUACCGGAGAAUGUUAUCACGGGAGACACACGGCGGGUGCUAACGUCCGUCGUGAAGAGGGAAACAACCCAGACCGCCAGCUAAGGUCCCAAAGUCAUGGUUAAGUGGGAAACGAUGUGGGAAGGCCCAGACAGCCAGGAUGUUGGCUUAGAAGCAGCCAUCAUUUAAAGAAAGCGUAAUAGCUCACUGGUCGAGUCGGCCUGCGCGGAAGAUGUAACGGGGCUAAACCAUGCACCGAAGCUGCGGCAGCGACGCUGAUGCGUUGUUGGGUAGGGGAGCGUUCUGUAAGCCUGCGAAGGUGUGCUGUGAGGCAUGCUGGAGGUAUCAGAAGUGCGAAUGCUGACAUAAGUAACGAUAAAGCGGGUGAAAAGCCCGCUCGCCGGAAGACCAAGGGUUCCUGUCCAACGUUAAUCGGGGCAGGGUGAGUCGACCCCUAAGGCGAGGCCGAAAGGCGUAGUCGAUGGGAAACAGGUUAAUAUUCCUGUACUUGGUGUUACUGCGAAGGGGGGACGGAGAAGGCUAUGUUGGCCGGGCGACGGUUGUCCCGGUUUAAGCGUGUAGGCUGGUUUUCCAGGCAAAUCCGGAAAAUCAAGGCUGAGGCGUGAUGACGAGGCACUACGGUGCUGAAGCAACAAAUGCCCUGCUUCCAGGAAAAGCCUCUAAGCAUCAGGUAACAUCAAAUCGUACCCCAAACCGACACAGGUGGUCAGGUAGAGAAUACCAAGGCGCUUGAGAGAACUCGGGUGAAGGAACUAGGCAAAAUGGUGCCGUAACUUCGGGAGAAGGCACGCUGAUAUGUAGGUGAAGUCCCUCGCGGAUGGAGCUGAAAUCAGUCGAAGAUACCAGCUGGCUGCAACUGUUUAUUAAAAACACAGCACUGUGCAAACACGAAAGUGGACGUAUACGGUGUGACGCCUGCCCGGUGCCGGAAGGUUAAUUGAUGGGGUUAGCGCAAGCGAAGCUCUUGAUCGAAGCCCCGGUAAACGGCGGCCGUAACUAUAACGGUCCUAAGGUAGCGAAAUUCCUUGUCGGGUAAGUUCCGACCUGCACGAAUGGCGUAAUGAUGGCCAGGCUGUCUCCACCCGAGACUCAGUGAAAUUGAACUCGCUGUGAAGAUGCAGUGUACCCGCGGCAAGACGGAAAGACCCCGUGAACCUUUACUAUAGCUUGACACUGAACAUUGAGCCUUGAUGUGUAGGAUAGGUGGGAGGCUUUGAAGUGUGGACGCCAGUCUGCAUGGAGCCGACCUUGAAAUACCACCCUUUAAUGUUUGAUGUUCUAACGUUGACCCGUAAUCCGGGUUGCGGACAGUGUCUGGUGGGUAGUUUGACUGGGGCGGUCUCCUCCUAAAGAGUAACGGAGGAGCACGAAGGUUGGCUAAUCCUGGUCGGACAUCAGGAGGUUAGUGCAAUGGCAUAAGCCAGCUUGACUGCGAGCGUGACGGCGCGAGCAGGUGCGAAAGCAGGUCAUAGUGAUCCGGUGGUUCUGAAUGGAAGGGCCAUCGCUCAACGGAUAAAAGGUACUCCGGGGAUAACAGGCUGAUACCGCCCAAGAGUUCAUAUCGACGGCGGUGUUUGGCACCUCGAUGUCGGCUCAUCACAUCCUGGGGCUGAAGUAGGUCCCAAGGGUAUGGCUGUUCGCCAUUUAAAGUGGUACGCGAGCUGGGUUUAGAACGUCGUGAGACAGUUCGGUCCCUAUCUGCCGUGGGCGCUGGAGAACUGAGGGGGGCUGCUCCUAGUACGAGAGGACCGGAGUGGACGCAUCACUGGUGUUCGGGUUGUCAUGCCAAUGGCACUGCCCGGUAGCUAAAUGCGGAAGAGAUAAGUGCUGAAAGCAUCUAAGCACGAAACUUGCCCCGAGAUGAGUUCUCCCUGACUCCUUGAGAGUCCUGAAGGAACGUUGAAGACGACGACGUUGAUAGGCCGGGUGUGUAAGCGCAGCGAUGCGUUGAGCUAACCGGUACUAAUGAACCGUGAGGCUUAACCUUACAACGCCGAAGCUGUU